AUGUCACGUGGAAGGGCUGGAUUCUGGACAGCAGAACAUGGAGGCUGGGUUGAUCUUUCUGGUAAAAUGCAAGUCUUGGCAAGAUUACUUGCUCAAUCAUGUCAGAGAACAAAUGAUCGCAUCUAUACUCAGACUCUUGAUCUUUUCGCUCAAUUGCAUCAGGAACAAAGGUACCCUCAUUUGAGGCUUGAUGGUUGGAUUCGUGUUGAGAAAGUUAAUAUUGGGGGAUUGGUGACAGAGGCGUUGGCUCGCCGAAAAUCACGAGAAAGAUCAAAGAUGGGAAUAAAGGAGGUUGGGUACAAUGAAGUUGUAUGGCCAUAA